rnacentral:rRNA from 1 species
CCUACGGGAGGCAGCAGUGAGGAAUAUUGGUCAAUGGACGAGAGUCUGAACCAGCCAAGUAGCGUGAAGGAUGACUGCCCUAUGGGUUGUAAACUUCUUUUAUCUGGGAAUAAAACGUUCCACGUGUGGGGUUUUGUAUGUACCAUAUGAAAAAGGAUCGGCUAACUCCGUGCCAGCAGCCGCGGUAAUACGGAGGAUGCGAGCGUUAUCCGGAUUUAUUGGGUUUAAAGGGUGCGUAGGUGGAUUGUUAAGUCAGUUGUGAAAGUGUGCGGCUCAACCGUAAAAUUGCAGUUGAAACUGGCAGUCUGGAGUGCAGGAGAGGUGCGCGGAAUGCGUGGUGUAGCGGUGAAAUGCUUAGAUAUCACGAAGAACUCCGAUGGCGAAGGCAGUGCACUGGACUGCAACUGACACUGAGGCUCGAAAGUGUGGGUAUCAAACAGGAUUAGAUACCCUAGUAGUC